UACGGGGGGGGCAAGCGUUGUUCGGAAUUACUGGGCGUAAAGGGCUCGUAGGCGGCCAACUAAGUCAGACGUGAAAUCCCUCGGCUUAACCGGGGAACUGCGUCUGAUACUGGAUGGCUUGAGUCCGGGAGAGGGAUGCGGAAUUCCAGGUGUAGCGGUGAAAUGCGUAGAUAUCGGGAGGAACACCUAUGGCGAAGGCAGCUCGCUGGGACGUUACUGACGCUGAGACGCGAAAGCGUGGGGAGCAAACAGG
rnacentral:rRNA from 1 species